CCUACGGGGGGCAGCAGUGAGGAAUAUUGGUCAAUGGACGAGAGUCUGAACCAGCCAAGUAGCGUGAAGGAUGACUGCCCUAUGGGUUGUAAACUUCUUUUAUAAAGGAAUAAAACGAGGCACGUGUGCCUUUUUGCAUGUACUUUAUGAAUAAGGAUCGGCUAACUCCGUGCCAGCAGCCGCGGUAAUACGGAGGAUCCGAGCGUUAUCCGGCUUUAUUGGGUUUAAAGGGAGCGUAGAUGGGUUGUUAAGUCAGUUGUGAAAGUUUGCGGCUCAACCGUAAAAUUGCAAUUGAUACUGGGAGUCUUGAGGACAGUUGAGGUAGGCGGAAUUCGUAGUGUAGCGGUGAAAUGCUUAGAUAUCACGAAGAACCCCGAUUGCGAAGGCAGCUUACUAAACUGUGACUGACAUUGAUGCUCGAAAGUGUGGGUAUCAAACAGGAUUAGAUACCCGGGUAGUC
rnacentral:rRNA from 1 species